UACGGGGGGGGCAAGCGUUGUUCGGAAUUACUGGGCGUAAAGGGCUCGUAGGCGGCCAACUAAGUCGGACGUGAAAUCCCCAGGCUCAACCUGGGAACUGCGUCCGAUACUGGAUGGCUUGAACGUCGGAGAGGUAAGUGGAAUUCCGAGUGUAGAGGUGAAAUUCGUAGAUAUUCGGAGGAACACCAGUGGCGAAGGCGGCUCACUGGCUCGACACUGACGCUGAGGUGCGAAAGCGUGGGGAGCAAACAGG
rnacentral:rRNA from 1 species